rnacentral:rRNA from 1 species
AUACAGAGGGUGCGAGCGUUAAUGGGAAUUACUGGGCGUAAAGCGCGCGUAGGCGGUCUAUUAAGUCAGAUGAGAAAUCCCAGGGCUCAACCUUGGAACUGCAUCUGAUACUGGUAGGCUAGAGUUUUGGAGAGGGAAGUAGAAUUUCAGGUGUAGCGGUGAAAUGCAUAGAGAUCUGAAGGAAUACCAGUGGCGAAGGCGACUUCCUGGCCAAAAACUGACGCUGAGGUGCGAAAGCGUGGGUAGCAAACGGGAUUAGAAACCCUAGUAGUCC